rnacentral:misc_RNA from 1 species
CUUGCUGAUAUUUUUGUAAUCAAAAAUCAAAAGAAAAAUUUAAAAGCAUCGGAAAACCCGGCAAUCGGCACAAAAACAGCACAACAGUCGCACAAUAAACAUUUCCCAGCCAGUAUUCAUUUAAGCGAAAUAUCGACGCACAGAGAAGAUGGAGAACAACGAGGCACCAGCACCUUCCGGUUCAAACAAUGACUUUCCCAUACUUCCACCACCGCCAAAUGCGUCAAACAUUGCCAACGACAAUAGCAACAACAAUGCCGCCCAGAAGCGUCUGCAGCAGACACAGGCCAAAGUGGACGAGGUUGUCGGCAUAAUGCGCGUCAAUGUCGAGAAGGUGCUCGAACGUGAUCAGAAACUAUCGGAGCUGGGCGAGCGCGCCGAUCAACUGGAACAGGGCGCCUCACAGUUCGAGCAGCAGGCCGGCAAGCUGAAGCGCAAGCAGUGGUGGGCCAACAUGAAAAUGAUGAUCAUACUGGGCGUCAUAGCUGUCGUCUUGCUCAUCAUUAUAAUCGUGUCGCUAUACAAUUGAUACACAGACACAAAUUACCACAACAAAAACAAAAUGCAGCAAGGCAACUUGUUGAACUUUAAAUUACGCAUAUCUCUAAGACAACCGAUACAACUACAUGCAACAUAAGUGCACGUAUCCAAACUUAUACACAUACGUAUAAAUAUAUAAAUAUGCAAAAUGUGCUGAGCAGAUUUAGUUUAAGAAAAGUGUGCGCUUUACCUUCAAGCAGCAACAGCAGCAGCACUGACCACGCCACCCAAGCCGUUACGCAGGU